rnacentral:lncRNA from 1 species
AUGCUUUGAAAAAAUAUGGGAUUAUAAUAUUCUCCUCCGCUAUCGGUCCUUAGACACUUAACAGAAGAUUCACAUUGCAAUUCAACCCCAAUUUUGUAAAUUUUGAAUUUUUCGAAUGCUUCAUCUUUAGAAUUUACAAGAUAACUUUGCAAAAUAUAGAGUAGUCAUCAAUGAGUGUAAUAACAUAUUUCUUCCCUCCAAUUGUAGGAGUACUAUGAAAAUCAC